rnacentral:rRNA from 1 species
GACGAACGCUGGCUGCGUGCUUAACACAUGCAAGUCGAACGGAAAGGCCCUGCUUUUGUGGGGUGCUCGAGUGGCGAACGGGUGAGUAACACGUGAGUAACCUGCCCUUGACUUUGGGAUAACUUCAGGAAACUGGGGCUAAUACCGGAUAGGAGCUCCUGCUGCAUGGUGGGGGUUGGAAAGUUUCGGCGGUUGGGGAUGGACUCGCGGCUUAUCAGCUUGUUGGUGGGGUAGUGGCUUACCAAGGCUUUGACGGGUAGCCGGCCUGAGAGGGUGACCGGCCACAUUGGGACUGAGAUACGGCCCAGACUCCUACGGGAGGCAGCAGUGGGGAAUAUUGCACAAUGGGCGGAAGCCUGAUGCAGCAACGCCGCGUGCGGGAUGACGGCCUUCGGGUUGUAAACCGCUUUCGCCUGUGACGAAGCGUGAGUGACGGUAAUGGGUAAAGAAGCACCGGCUAACUACGUGCCAGCAGCCGCGGUGAUACGUAGGGUGCGAGCGCUGUCCGGAUUUAUUGGGCGUAAAGGGCUCGUAGGUGGUUGAUCGCGUCGGAAGUGUAAUCUUGGGGCUUAACCCUGAGCGUGCUUUCGAUACGGGUUGACUUGAGGAAGGUAGGGGAGAAUGGAAUUCCUGGUGGAGCGGUGGAAUGCGCAGAUAUCAGGAGGAACACCAGUGGCGAAGGCGGUUCUCUGGGCCUUUCCUGACGCUGAGGAGCGAAAGCGUGGGGAGCGAACAGGCUUAGAUACCCUGGUAGUCCACGCUGUAAACGGUGGGUACUAGGUGUGGGGUCCAUUCCACGGGUUCCGUGCCGUAGCUAACGCUUUAAGUACCCCGCCUGGGGAGUACGGCCGCAAGGCUAAAACUCAAAGGAAUUGACGGGGCCCCGCACAAGCGGCGGAGCAUGCGGAUUAAUUCGAUGCAACGCGUAGAACCUUACCUGGGUUUGACAUGGAUCGGGAGUGCUCAGAGAUGGGUGUGCCUCUUUUGGGGUCGGUUCACAGGUGGUGCAUGGCUGUCGUCAGCUCGUAUCGUGAGAUGUUGGGUUAAGUCCCGCAACGAGCGCAACCCUUGUUCACUGUUGCCAGCACGUUAUGGUGGGGACUCAGUGGAGACCGCCGGGGUCAACUCGGAGGAAGGUGGGGAUGACGUCAAGUCAUCAUGCCCCUUAUGUCCAGGGCUUCACGCAUGCUACAAUGGCUGGUACAGAGAGUGGCGAGCCUGUGAGGGUGAGCGAAUCUCGGAAAGCCGGUCUCAGUUCGGAUUGGGGUCUGCAACUCGACCUCAUGAAGUCGGAGUCGCUAGUAAUCGCAGAUCAGCAACGCUGCGGUGAAUACGUUCCCGGG